UAAUGACAGUACUGGUCAGGUGAUGAUAAUGACAGUGUUGGUCAGGUGGUGAUAAUGAUAGUUCUUGUCAGGUGGUGGUAAUGACAGUACUGGUCAGGUGAUGAUGACUGGUCAGGUGGUGGUAAUGACAGUACUGGUCAGGUGGUGGUAAUUACAGUACUGGUCAGGUGAUGUAGAUGCUUGUGUGUGAUGGUUAUAUUUGUUGAGAUAAUAUUCAACAAAAUGACAUCUGAGCAGUUUUAUUGUUCACGGUUUGCUUUAUUUCCUCCGCAUUGUUUCUUCAGGGGCGAUCGAGUGGUGAUGUAGGGGGGAUCGAGUGGUGAUGUAGGGGAUUGAGUGGAGGGACGUAGGGGUGAUCUAGGAGGGAUGUAGGGGUGAUCUAGGAGGGACGUAGGGGUGAUCUAGGAGGGACGUAGGGGUGAUCUAGGAGGGACGUAGGGGUGAUCUAGGAGGGACGUAGGGGCGAUCUUGGAGGGAUGUAGGGGUGAUCUAGGAGGGACGUAGAGGUGAUCUAGGAGGGAUGUCGGGGUGAACUUGGAGGGAUGUAGGGGGUUGUGGAGUGUCUGUGGAUGAUGGCUGGUGAAGCAGCCUUUCCUGGCCCAGGUCAGAGUGAUUAGGCUGAACACCUGUUGCAUAUUGAGCAAUCAGCCAUCACCACACAUCCUCCUGCAUGGCGACGUGUAACACCAUGAAUCAUUAUCUACAAACUAAAAAAACAGAUUGUCCAACACCACCAGCCAAUCUAGGGGUGAUGUAAGGCUGAUCUAGGGGGGAUGAAAGGCUGAUCUAGGGGUAAUGUAAGGCUGAUCUAGGGGCAGUGGUGUAUAAAGUACUCAAAAGCCAUACUUAAGUAAAAGUACAGAUACCUUACUGGAAAAUUACUUAAGUAAAAGUAAAAGUCACCUUUUAGAAUAGUACUUAAGUAAAAAGUAUUAAAGUAUCUGAUCUUUACUGUACUUAAGUAUCAAAAGUACUUUUCUGAUAUUAAAUGUACUUAAGUACUGAAAGUAAAAGUACAAGUAACUGCUGUUAAUAAAAAAGCAAAGGGUCAGAAUUUUGAGAAUAAGUAAGGAAUAAUCACCGAGAGGCCGGGCAAUAAACAGUUUGAUAUGCCCGGCUCGUGGACG
ensembl:lncRNA